ACGGGAGGCAGCAGUGGGGAAUAUUGGGCAAUGGGCGCAAGCCUGACCCAGCAAUGCCGCGUGAAGGAAGAAGGCUUUCGGGUUGUAAACUUCUUUUAAGUGGGACGAUAAUGACGGUACCACUUGAAUAAGCUCCGGCUAACUACGUGCCAGCAGCCGCGGUACUACGUAGGGAGCACGCGUUAUCCGGAUUUACUGGGUGUAAAGGGCGUGUAGGCGGGACAGCAAGUCAGAUGUGAAAGCACGAGGCUCAACCGCGGCUCUGCAUUUGAAACUGCUGUGCUUGAGUGCUGGAGAGGCGAACGGAACUCCUAGUGUAGCGGUGAAAUGCGUAGAUAUUAGGAAGAACACCAGUGGCGAAGGCGGUUAGCUGGACAGUAACUGACGCUGAGGCGCGAAAGCGUGGGUAGCAAACAGGAUUAGAUACCCUGGUA
rnacentral:rRNA from 1 species